rnacentral:rRNA from 1 species
GAUGAACGCUGGCGGCGUGCCUAAUACAUGCAAGUCGAGCGAACGGACGAGAAGCUUGCUUUUCUGAUGUUAGCGGCGGACGGGUGAGUAACACGUGGAUAACCUACCUAUAAGACUGGGAUAACUUCGGGAAACCGGAGCUAAUAUCGGAUAAUAUUUUGAACCGCAUGGUUCAAAAGUGAAAGACGGUCUUGCUGUCACUUAUAGAUGGAUCCGCGCUGCAUUAGCUAGUUGGUAAGGUAACGGCUUACCAAGGCAACGAUGCAUAGCCGACCUGAGAGGGUGAUCGGCCACACUGGAACUGAGACACGGUCCAGACUCCUACGGGAGGCAGCAGUAGGGAAUCUUCCGCAAUGGGCGAAAGCCUGACGGAGCAACGCCGCGUGAGUGAUGAAGGUCUUCGGAUCGUAAAACUCUGUUAUUAGGGAAGAACAUAUGUGUAAGUAACUGUGCACAUCUUGACGGUACCUAAUCAGAAAGCCACGGCUAGCUACGUG